GGUUGUAUAGUGUAGUGGUUAGCACGUCAGACUUUGAAUCUGAAGACCCGAGUUCAAACCUCGGUACGACCU